UCAUUUUUCAACGCCAAAAGAUCGACAGGCAAAAAAUGGCUAGUUUAAUGGACCCAAUUUCGAUACUAAUGAGUGUAAUUCUAAGAAAGAGCAUAUAUGUGUAUCAGGAAUCCGCUCUCUUGUUGAUGCAAUUCUUUCCAGUUUUUGUGUCAACAAUCCGAUUUUCCCGUUUCAUUUUCAGUCGUAACUCCGCUGUUUCAGGCAGGUACUACUACUCUCCCAGGUCAUCCAUGGUGGCUCGACAUGAUCGGUAGUCCUACAAAAUUCACGGUGAAUCAUUGGUGAGAAGAUCUGAAGGUUCAUCACACGUUCUUCGUCGAAGAGCAAUGAGCUUAAUCUUGCCCAUAUAGCCAAUGAGUGGCCGUUUAAUCUUAAACACGUUCAAACCCAUGGCAGAAAGCGUGAGAGGGCGACGCAGAGACGCACAGAGAGAGACAAACGGAAAGAGACCCUUUCUCAGCAUAUGAUCUCUCGUCCCUCUCUCUCCUGUCUCAGCUAGCAGCCGGCGGCCCAACAGAAGUGUGGGUGUCGAAGCUUGUUAAGUGACAAAUCUUGCUUUGAUUAUUUCUAUAAUUCUAUUUGCUAAUCGGUGGCCUUUGAUUCUUCUGACCUGUGUAAAAAUCAUUUUCAUUUUGUAAAUGGUAGAUGAGAAGGAAGAGAGAUCAGAAUCUCUGUUUUGUGAUUCUCUUUAUACUCUUUUCGAAAAAAAUAAAUAUUUUGGAACUUUUUGUAUAGACUAAGAAGGAUUUCUUAGGGCUGCCGAAGAAUGGGUAGCGGAUGGUUGGUUUGAUCAAUUUGUCUAUGAUUUGUUUUUAACUUUCUGGUUUCUGUUUGAUUUACUCGGAUUAAUAUUAGUCUUUGUGAGUUUCCUUCAGUUUGUUAAAAGGUCCAAAAGCCCUUAUUUUAUUUUUUUUUACAAAAAAUAAAAACCGGCCCCAAAAUUAUCCUAAAAACCAGUCCAAAAGGUCUAAAAACCAACAUAUAAAAAGCGGUUUUCAAACCGCCGAUUAUAAGUUUUAAUAACUGCUAACCACCAAAGCGGAGCAGUUGCGAUUGUUAAAAUUCAAUACCCUCCUUAGGCGGUUGCAGUUAGUGGUUUUAGCUAAUAACUGCUAAUCGUAACCGCUUGUACAAGUUUAAUUAGCGCUGGCGUGACGUCUAACGGAAUUUGUCAAAAUUUUUAACGAAAUUUGAUUCGAGAGAGCAAUUUGUAAA